rnacentral:lncRNA from 1 species
GUUUAUGUGCUGGAGUCUCUUGGGAAAGCAAGAGGGGACUUUGUUUCCACUUUUCAGGGAAGUCUCCUUGUUGUUAGCAGGCCUCUAAAAGGUUUUGAUUGUUCCGCUAGAUCACACGCGCGAUCACAGACAGCUGGAGAUACACCGACUCGGGAAAGACAGGGACAGGAUAACCUUGGAUACGUUACAGAUCCUAAAGCAAACGACACCAGCAGUGAAUUAACUGACAGCGGGAUCUGGCAGAGCAGUCACAUCAGCACUAUUCAGAUGCCUCAUGUGAUCAACGGGAGCCAAAGAGACAACAAUCUUUAUGUCAAUCACCCCGUUGGUGAAAACGGUGUCAGGAAACAUAGACAUGUAACUAUAGUGUAAAUAUACAAUGAGAUACAGUGUUUAAUAAGACAUAACAGAUUUAUUUUUCUAGAAAAAAAAAAUUGAAAACUGUAAAUGCAGGAUUAAUUUUAUGGGAAAAUCUUUUUUUUAUCUUGCGAUAUGUGCAAUAAUUGUAGUGCAAUAUACUGUAUGUGCCCUCCUUUUUAAGAAAAAAAAUAUAUUAAAAGAAAUAAAAAAACUUUUAAUGGACUGUCA